rnacentral:misc_RNA from 1 species
UUUCCGUAGGUGAACCUGCGGAAGGAUCAUUAUUGUAUAACCGAGGUGCGAGGGCUGUCGCUGACCCGACAGGUCGUGCACGCCCGAGUACCCUCACACACAUCCAUCUCACCCCUAUGUGCACCACCGCGUGGGUCCCCCUUUGGCUUGUUCGGAGGGGGGCUUACGUUUUCACACAAACUUUGUAUGCAGUGUAGAAUGUAUUUUUUGUUUUUGCGAUCACGCAAUCAAUACAACUUUCAACAACGGAUCUCUUGGCUCUC